UACGAAGGGGGCUAGCGUUGCUCGGAAUCACUGGGCGUAAAGGGUGCGUAGGCGGGGCUUUAAGUCAGGGGUUAAAUCCUGGAGCUCAACUCCAGAACUGCCUUUGAUACUGAAGAUCUUGAGUUCGGGAGAGGUGAGUGGAACUGCGAGUGUAGAGGUGAAAUUCGUAGAUAUUCGCAAGAACACCAGUGGCGAAGGCGGCUCACUGGCCCGAUACUGACGCUGAGGCACGAAAGCGUGGGGAGCAAACAGG
rnacentral:rRNA from 1 species